CGGCUUCAUAGCAGUUCGGAGCUGCACUGUAGAGCGUUCUCCACUGAGCUGAGCGGAACUUGAAAUGACUUCUCAGAAACAGGACUUCAGGAUGCCUCCCUCUUCCUGCCACCUUUGAGCUUCUCAGUGCUGUGACUGUGUUCUGCUCCUCUUUGUACCCAUCUUCCCUGCGGGUGUGGCCUCCAGAAAAGGAUAUUGGAAAGAACGUGGAACUCUCAACAACGAAAGCAAUGAAGCUGCCUUGCUUAAGGAGGAAAGGAUGAAACACUGAUGUGCAAAGCACUGAUGGAAAACGCAGGAGGCUGCAGAAGUCCAAAGAAACGCUGGAUUCUUGGGGGCAGCAGGAUUCUGCCGGGUAGCUCUGGGCUUCAUCAAGACAACUGCCGCCUGCUGCCGCACAUCAAGACAACUGCCACCUGCUGCCACACGCUCCCGCACAUCACAAUGGUGAAAUAUGGGGCCCACAGGCAAGGUGGAGGGAUGAGUAGUUUGGCUGGAGAGGCUUUAUUCCAUCAAGCCCCUACUCUUAUCCAUCCAUCUAAAUCAUACAACUCAGGUUAUCAACACUCCAUGAAACAACCACUCCAAACUUCCUGCUCCAGGAGUUUUUAUUAUGAAGACCAUCCAAGCCUAAGCAACAAGCAAAACCCUGUUUCUACAAAAAAAAAAGAAAAGAAAUUGAAAAAUUGUUCUGGCAUGAUGGCACGUGCCUACAGUCAUGACUACUUGGGAGACUGAGAUAGGAGAAUUGCUUGAGCUCAGUAGUUCAAGGCUGCAAUGACUUGUGAUUGUGGAACUGCACUUCCGUCUGGGCAACAGAGAAAAACACUGUCUCUAAAAAUAAUAAAUAAAUAAAUAAAUAAAAGUCCAAGUGUAAACAAAAACUGAAGAAAUCAGCAACUUAUUUGUACAUUGUAAAAACAUCACAGCUGAGCACUUAUAAGGUCCACUGGGAAAGAGACACAGGGUCUGCAGCCCCAGAUACAAUAAGAAAAGUGACUGCUGUCUGACACUGAGCUUUAUACAGAUUCCCGUGGAGUGCACACAGCAACCCUGUGGAGGCUGAUGCUGUAUCAUCAUCAUGCACAUUUUACAGAUCCGUGCAUACACAAAAAGGUUAGAUAACUUGCCCAAGGGUGUGCAGUCAGUAUGUGCUGGGACCACGAUCCAAAUGCAGGCUGUUCCGUUUUCUCUUCCACUCAAGCACCAGCUCCUCCACUGUUUCCAUGAGCAUCUCCACUCACCUUGCACAAGACU